AGCGUGGAUGGAGAAUAACUCGUGAAUGGAGGAACAAAUGAAAAAUGGAUAAGAUAAUACAACAAAAGGAUGAUCAAAUUAUGAAGCUGCAGGCCCAAUUAUUGGAACAACACAAAAUAUUAGAUAACAGCAAAUCUAAGGAUGCUCAAAUUUUGAGUGUACAAGCUCAGCUAGGGGAAAAGAACAAAUUGGAAUGGAACAGUUUCCAAACAGUGAAGGAGG